rnacentral:lncRNA from 1 species
ACAUUUUCAUAUCUUUUAUUCAGAUCAUUAAGCUCCUCUUUGAGACAGUAUAUUUCUUGCUGAAGGGCAUUUCUUUCAUUAACUCGCAGUUCAACCUCCUGUUCAAGUUUCUCUAUUAUCUCCCUCAGGUUUAAUAUCUCAUCUUGCAAAAUAUUUAUGGACAAAGAUGAAGAAAUCUUGUGCUCAUUUAGAAUUUUGUUUUCCUCCUUCACCUCGUGUACUUUAUCCUCUAAAGCGUGGUUACAGGAUUCCAUGCUCUCCAGGAUCUCUGCCUUACCAUGCAGGUCAGCAGCAAGAGAUCUAAGUUCUUCCUGAGAUUGUGAGUGCAAAUGCUGAAGAGUUUGGAAAGCAGUUUCGGCCUCAAUGAAUCGCAAUCUCUCCUCUUGUAAGGAAGUCCAAAGCUUACUCAAUUCCCUCUGCUUCUCACUAAGUUCUUCGCUUUGAGACCCUAACUUUUGCGCCAACGACUGCAAUUCAGACUGCAGAGUGUGAUUUGAUGUUUCCAAUAGAAGACACUUUUGUUCAGAACUAUGCAAUUUUUCAGCCCCAUCAUCUACCUUGGAAAUUAGCCUACACACCUCCUCUUCAUCACAAGAGAUUUUAUGCUGCAAACUGGAAAUUAUCUCCAAGCUUUGUUGAUAACGGAGAGCUGCAUCUUCCUUCUCUUCAAUAAGUUUAGCAACUUCUAACUUCAGCACCUCAAUUUCAUUCUCAGCUUUAUUAGCUUGCUCAGUAAUCCUUCUUGCGUUCUCCUCUGCUUCUUUUAAUCUCUCUUCCAGUUUUGAUAAUGACUCCAAGCACUGUGUAUAUUUAACAAGGGCAGCAUCCCUUUCAGCUUCUACUCUAGUAAGAGCCUGUUUUAGUGACCCGGAUUCAGUUUCAGCUAUAGUAGCUCGUUCAUUAAGUUCUCCUGCGCCCUUUUGAGCGAAAGAAAUAUUUUUCUCCAGGUUAGAUAUUUUAUCCAAGCAUUCCUCGUACUGAUUUAGACUAGCCUCCCUUUCAGCCUGUAAUCUGGUGAGGGCUUCCUUCAAGGCUAUAACUUCAGCUUCAGCUUUACUUGCUCUCUCAUCAAGCCCUUGAUAUUUCUCUCGUGCAUGAGACACUUCUGACUCCAAAUUAGACAAUCUCUCCAAACUCUGCUGAUACUGAAGCAAACCAUCUUCCUUUUCACUUUCUAAUUUGGUGAGGGCUUCCUUUAAGGCCAUAAUUUCUGUCUCGGCUUUUUUCACCUGUUCAGACUCAGACAAGACUUGAGUCCUGCUAUCAUGGCUUUCAUUGUUUAUCCCAUUACUCUCCUCCUGUGUACCAAGAAAAUUGAGCCCCCGUCUAGCAUGACCUCCAGCAAACUUCACAACAUUUACAUGUUCUCCGGGAAUGACAAGAUCAUUGAGCUGUUUCAAACCUGUCUUGUUUAUAGCAGAAUAAGGUCCUUCAGUAUGAGCUCCAUCUCUUUUCGUGGAAGGGAAAUGAGUAGAAGCAUCCUUCGGCAGUUCAUCUGUUUCGAGAAAUGCACGUGAAGGGUGGCGUGCAUCUGGAGUAUGUGGCUCGGCCUCAUUCUCAUCCAUCACGGGAAUUUGAUUAGGAAAUGCUUCAGACAUGGUCCGAUGGGCAUGCCGGAUCACUGCAGUUGCAUUAUCAUAUCUCUCAGCCAACGCCCGAUAUGCCCGGUAAAACUCUUCAACCAUUUUCAUAAGCUCUGGGCGUUUUUUAAAAUACAUUUCUGCUCUCCUGGCAAAGGAAUCUGCAUCUUCUUCAAUGAGCUUAAUCAUUUGCUUCACCUUGGAAUCCAUAUCUGUGAAAGAAGAUAUAUCAUUGUGAUAAGGUCAAGUAAGUCUAAAAACAAAAGGGCACCAAAUGGAUGAUAGCAGAAAAAAAAAACUACAUUGCCACAUCUUUCGGAGUAAUUAAGCAAAUAAAUGAUAUAAUUGGAAAGAAAAACGUAAUAAAGGAAGUAGAUAUGGUUUAACAUACAUACAGACUUCCACACAGUACACUUAAAGAGUACAGAACUGAUAUUUUGUAAAACUAAAUCAACUCUGUCUCCUCAUGCCUCAUUAUCUAUAGUUUAAAAAUGAAGAUAUAAACUAAAGAAAAUAUAAAAAAAUACAGAUACACAUUUGACACUUGUAGUCUUCUAUAAAAAUCCAUAUAUCCCUUUUAUGAAGCCUCAGCUUGAGUGCAUCAUGACAGCCACCAAAUUCUAAAGUGAAAUUUGUAAACAAGUCUCAACCAGAUUAUAUCAUUGUAUCAGGCAUUCAUUACAUUAUGAUUAAAUAAACUUCCAGAAAAUUAUAGGGCCUUGUAACAAUCUAAAUAAUGAUAUUAUAUAUGUGAGAUCAAAGAACUAAAAGAGGAAAAAAACUCAAUUAGACUAACUUCCCUGUUUAAUAAUGUAAGGAACAUUUAUAUUUAUACUAUGUUAAUAUGUUAAAGCACAAUUGUUACUAGAAAGAUAGAUUUACCAGUUCGAGACUUCCAUUUAUCUGCUUAACUGUCAUUUCAAUCACACUUAUCCUUUUCUGCAUGUCUUGGAAGUCCAGGAGUGCAUCUGGAGUCACAACAGUCUGAUCUUUACCUGUUUUCCGAUCAUCUUCGGUGGAUUGGUGAUUCACCAAAUUUUGAACCUAGAAAUGGUGAUUAUAAGAAAGCCAGAAUGUGACAAUUAAAAAUGCAAUAACAGUUUAUUGCAAGUUGAAAACAAUAUUAUAAAAUACCUACCAAUAACCCUCCUUCAACAUGCAAGGAAGCAGCACCCUACAUUUCUAAAAAGUUAUCUAGCAUGGAAAUUCUACAAAGAAGUUCAUCAAAAACUAAAUUAUGGAAGAAAAAACAAUUAGUUUAUUUUAUUCAAAUAGAUACGGAAACUGAUCUAAUCCUGAAAUAUUGGAAUCACUGAUAUAAUGUACCAUAUGCUAAAAACCCACGUUCUCAAAAUACUGGUAUAAUCAACAAGCAUAAGCAUGCAUCUUAACAUUGCAAAUUAUUAUUCUGUACAAAAAUGCUAAGUAUUUAACAAGGAUGGGGUAAACAAACGAUUUUUGAAACACCAUGACAUAAUUGAAGGUGCUAUUUUCCAAAUUUGUCAACAUGCAUUUUCAUGGGUACAGAUUGUUUUGAGGUCAUAUUAUGUGCCUGUAAGUAUCAGAAACAGAGAUAUUACAAGACCGUGGGCAUUUAACUCAAACAUCCAGUACAGUGCCUCAAAGCAUACUGGAGUGCAACACGUAUUGGGAUACCCGCCGCAUACAUGUCAAAUGUCAAACCCUGACAGCAAUUACAGAGAGAUACAAUAUGGAAUAAUAUGUGAUACCUUUGAUUCUUCAUACUGAUGAGAUUUUGCAUGUACAAGAGUAUACAUCUCCAAAGAUGUUAUACAAUCAUUCAAAGCACUGACGGCCGGGACAUAAGCAGCUAAAUGACCACAUAGUCUUUCAUUUUCACCUUCCAACUUGGUAACUCUUUCAUUCAGCAGUUCACUUUCUAUAUCUUUGGAGUAGUUUCGGCGUUCAAGAUUCUCACACGCAUCAGCUAGCUCAGAGACCUUCCCUUCAAACAAUGUUUCAUUGACAGCAGAAAUCUGCAGUUCGGCAUAAAGUGUUGCAGCCUGAGUUUCCCAUUGUUCAAUCUCAUCUUUUCCCUUAUGCAGCUCAUAACUUAGCUCUUUUUCCCUCAGUUUAGUUUCUGCAAGAUCUUGAUGUAGGUGCCUCAUUUCAGACUCCAGCUUCUGAUUCACUUCACGAAGACAACGAAGCUCUUCAUUUUGAUGAUCCAUGUCUGAGGAUAAUUUUAAAAUUUGAUCACCCUUGUCUUCAAGUACCACCCUGGCCUCAUCAUACUUAACCUUCAGAUCUUCCACCAUUCUUCGCGAUUCUGUUUUCUCAGACUGUAAUGUACAAAACAUCUUAGCUGCUUCCAAAAGCUCAUUUUCCCUUUGAGAUAGUAAUUCCUUUUCAGUCCUGAUCUGACAACUUAAUUGAUCAUUGACAGAUUCAACUAACUUUAGUUCAAUAUUCGAUUUUACAAAUGACUCUUUAAGAUUUGAGUUUUCCAUCUCUGCUUCCUCUAAUUUGCAUGCCAUUAUUUUUAAUCUCCCCUCAAGGUCAUUAUUCAUCAUUCGAAGUUUAUCGAGGCCUUCACCCAACUCUUUAAGUUCCAGGAGUUUUUCAAAGAUGAUGUUCUGGUAAAUCAGAGAAAUACUAGAUUGAGCUAUUGUCUCGUGGAUCACAAAAGAAAUUUCUUCUUCCAAGUUAAUUUUCUCUUCACCCAGAUCAGCAACUCUUUUCAUCAAGGACUUCUUCUCUUCAAGUGCCUUGCAACUUUCUUCCUGUAAGCUUUUGUGACCCUCUUCCAAGUCUGACCGCUGUUUGCAUAGAUUCUCUAUUUCAGUUGUCAUUACUUCCAUUCUCUCUUCUCCCUUUGCUAUUGUCAACUUCAACUCUCGAUUCUUCUCCAAUGUCUUUUCGGCCUCUAUUUGCAAUGCCAGGAACUGCUUAGACUGGAUCCUGAACUCCUCAUCAAGGGCAUCUCUUUCUGACACAACAGUUUCCACCUUUAAUUUCAACUGCCCAAGGAAUGUUACCAGAACCGAAUUCUCAACGAUCAGCUGCUGGUUUUCAUUGAAAGUUGUGACAAAGGACUUCUGUGUCUCCUGAAGUUUUCCAUGUAUAUGGUUCAGAAGCAUCUGGUCUUCUUCAAGCUUAUCCUCACACAAAUGCUUGCUGUUAAUGUCAAGAGUUUUCAACACCUGAAGCAGCCCAAUUCUUAGUAUUUUAGUUUUCUCAGAUAAAGAAUUCACAUCAACCUGCUUUUGAACAUUUUCAAUCUCCAAUGUAGAUAUCAUUCUCUCAGACAUUUCAGAUGCCUCUAAAAGUCUCUGACAUUCAACUACAAGGGAGAAGUUCUUUUCCUCCAAAUCCUGGAUACAUUUCUGCAAGAUGAAAAUUUCAGUUUGAGCAUGUACAGCUCUGUCAAGUUCCUCCCCAUAUUCCCUAUUCUGGCAAUUCACAUCUUUUUGUAGAGCAUCAAUUCGUAAUUCCUUGUCAGCCAAGUCAUCUUCAUUCAAUUUCAUAAUUCUGGAAUGCUCCUCCUUCUCAUAAUAUAACAAGACCAGUAGCUCCUCUAUCUUUAGAAGUGCAGACUCCUUUUCUCCUUUUAGUUCCAAAUGCUGUAGUUCCAACUCACUGUGUUGUUUCUCAAGAUCUUUCAGUGUUUGCUGAGUGAUGUUCAACUGUGAAACUAAGUUUUCUUUCUCAGAGAUGAUACUAGACUUCUCAUCAACAAUUAACUGGCAUGUGUCUUCUAAGAUCUUGGACUUUACCCUUAAUCCUUCGAGUUCAGCAUUCACAUCAAAAAGUGAAUUUUCCAAAAGUUUGUUCUUUUCUGAGAGCUUCUCCAAGUUUUCAACUGUGGCUUGUAACUGAGAAAACAAAGUGGCCUUCUCAGCAACAAGAGUUGUUUUUUCCUCAAGCAGAGAUCGGCAUGUUUCUUCCAACACAUUUACCAUUCCUCUCACACUCUCCAUCUCAGCAUUCAAGUCUGAAAGAGUAUUCUCCAAAACAGAAUUUUUCUCCAAAAGUUUCUCCAUGGUCUCCAAUUUGGCCAGAAGAGAUGCUUUCACACCUUUGUCAGCCUCACACGUCUCCUUCAGCUUUGAGUUCUCAUCUUGCAUUUGUUUCACAGAUGAGACAAAGUACUGUGGGUCUAAGCCAGUUGAUCUGACCUCCUCUACCACAUUUUCAUAUCUUUUAUUCAGAUCAUUAAGCUCCUCUUUGAGACAGUAUAUUUCUUGCUGAAGGGCAUUUCUUUCAUUAACUCGCAGUUCAACCUCCUGUUCAAGUUUCUCUAUUAUCUCCCUCAGGUUUAAUAUCUCAUCUUGCAAAAUAUUUAUGGACAAAGAUGAAGAAAUCUUGUGCUCAUUUAGAAUUUUGUUUUCCUCCUUCACCUC